rnacentral:lncRNA from 1 species
UUUGUUUAUUAUGAGCACUGUGGAGAAGAUCCAAGAUUGAUUAUCGUCACGAUGCAGCCAUGUAUGACGAUCUAUGCUGAGUCUAUGUAGAGGUUCUCCACGGAAAUAAUCCCUCCAGUCGACUGCACUGCUGCAACAACGUGCGCCUGGGGGAAUCAGUUUAACCGAACAGGAGCUUGACAAGGCCCAGGUGCUGUGAUCAGAAAUGGGGAAUGGUGGUGAAGAAGGUCCCGAGGUCCUCAAGAUCCUCGCAGUCUAAGCGGAUAGUGCUAUGUGCCGUCAACUAAAAGGACUGCAGACAGACGCUCUAACACACAGAGCCAUAAAUCAGGAAGGGACCAGGCUCGUGUUCACUGGCGGCGAUGAGAGCGCUGUGUAGAGGAGGGCGAAGGAGGAGAGGCCAGGAAGCGGGCGCUCCCCACACCCCAGGCCGAGGAUGGGUUCUCACCACCAACACAGGCGGCAGCAGAGCAAGACAGAGCAGACACUGACCACUAGGUGGCGCCAAAUGCAAAAAUACCCCGGGAAGUCCAAGCCUGGCCAGUCAUUUUGCAGUAACAUGACCCUGUAUGCCUUCCGCAUCAUCUUAUACCAACCCCAAACUAUCUCUUGUGGGAAUUUGGAACAUAUGAUAAAUGCAUGUUUUAAUAUUCUUCCUGUUUGGUCUCUUUUGCUCUUCUCUUGAUAACAUUCCUCUUCUCUAUUAAAAAUAUUUUCACACUCGGGGCUGGGGAUUUAGCUCACUGGUUUUGCCGCCUGCUGCUCAAGAGCAAGGACCUGAGUUCGAUCCCCAGUACCAAAAGAAAAAGAAAAGAAAAACCUCCUCACAGUGACUCCAGCCUCAAAAGCAGCCUGUCGCAAAG